rnacentral:rRNA from 1 species
UACGUAGGGUGCAAGCGUUAAUCGGAAUUACUGGGCGUAAAGCGUGCGCAGGCGGUUCGCUAAGACAGAAUGUGAAAUCCCCGGGCUUAACCUGGGAACUGCAUUUGUGACUGGCGGCUAGAGUAUGGCAGAGGGGGGUAGAAUUCCACGUGUAGCAGUGAAAUGCGUAGAGAUGUGGAGGAACACCGAUGGCGAAGGCAGCCCCCUGGGUCAAGAUUGACGCUCGAUGCACGAAAGCGUGGGGAGCAAACAGG